AUUGAACGCUGGCGGCAGGCCUAACACAUGCAAGUCGAACGGUAACAGGAAGCAUCUUGCUGCUUCGCUGACGAGUGGCGGACGGGUGGGUAAUGUCUGGGAAACUGCCUGAUGGAGGGGGAUAACUACUGGAAACGGUAGCUAAUACCGCAUAACGUCGCAAGACCAAAGAGGGGGACCUUAGGGCCUCUUGCCAUCGGAUGUGCCCAGAUGGGAUUAGCUAGUAGGUGGGGUAACGGCUCACCUAGGCGACGAUCCCUAGCUGGUCUGAGAGGAUGACCGGCCACACUGGAACUGAGACACGGUCCAGACUCCUACGGGAGGCAGCAGUGGGGAAUAUUGCACAAUGGGCGCAAGCCUGAUGCAGCCAUGCCGCGUGUAUGAAGAAGGCCUUCGGGUUGUAAAGUACUUUCAGCGGGGAGGAAGGGAGUAAAGUUAAUACCUUGGCUCAUUGACGUUACCCGCAGAAGAAGCACCGGCUAACUCCGUG
rnacentral:rRNA from 1 species